rnacentral:rRNA from 1 species
GGAUUAACGCUGGCGGCAUGCCUAAUACAUGCAAAUCGAACGAAGCCUUUAUGGCUUAGUGGUGAACGGGUGAGUAACACGUAUCCAAUCUACCCUUAAGUUGGGGAUAACUAAUCGAAAGAUUAGCUAAUACCGAAUAAUAACAUCAUUAUCGUAUGAGAAGAUGUAGAAAGUUGCGUUUGCAACGCUUUUGGAUGAGGGUGCGACGUAUCAGAUAGUUGGUGAGGUAACGGCUCACCAAGUCAAUGACGCGUAGCUGUACUGAGAGGUAGAACAGCCACAAUGGGACUGAGACACGGCCCAUACUCCUACGGGAGGCAGCAGUAGGGAAUUUUUCACAAUGGGCGAAAGCCUUAUGAAGCAAUGCCGCGUGAACGAUGAAGGUCUUAUAGAUUGUAAAGUUCUUUUAUAUGGGAAGAAUGCUAAGAUAGUAAAUGAUUAUUAGUUUGACUGUACCAUUUGAAUAAGUAUCGGCUAACUAUGUGCCAGCAGCCGCGGUAAUACAUAGGAUGCAAGCGUUAUCCGGAUUUACUGGGCGUAAAACGAGCGCAGGCGGAUUUGUAAGUUUGGUAUGAAAUCUAGAUGCUUAACGUCUAGCUGUAUCAAAAACUACAAAUCUAGAGUGUAGUAGAGAGUUGGGGAACUCCAUGUGGAGCGGUAAAAUGCGUAGAUAUAUGGAAGAACACCGGUGGCGAAGGCGCCAACUUGGACUAUCACUGACGCUUAGGCUCGAAAGUGUGGGGAGCAAAUAGGAUUAGAUACCCUAGUAGUCCACACCGUAAACGAUGAUCAUUAAAUGUCGGCUCGAAUGAGUCGGUGUUGUAGCUAACGCAUUAAAUGAUCUGCCUGGGUAGUACAUUCGCAAGAAUGAAACUCAAACGGAAUUGACGGGGACCCGCACAAGUGGUGGAGCAUGUUGCUUAAUUUGACAAUACACGUAGAACCUUACCUAGGUUUGACAUCUAUUGCAAUGCUAUAGAAAUAUAGCGGAGGUUAACAAUAUGACAGGUGGUGCAUGGUUGUCGUCAGCUCGUGUCGUGAGAUGUUGGGUUAAGUCCCGCAACGAGCGCAACCCCUUUCGUUAGUUACUUUAUCUAGCGAUACUGCUACCGCAAGGUAGAGGAAGGUGGGGAUGACGUCAAAUCAUCAUGCCCCUUAUAUCUAGGGCUGCAAACGUGCUACAAUGGCUAAUACAAAUUGCUGCAAUACCGUAAGGUGGAGCGAAUCAAAAAAGUUAGUCUCAGUUCGGAUAGAGGGCUGCAAUUCGUCCUCUUGAAGUUGGAAUCACUAGUAAUCGCGAAUCAGACAUGUCGCGGUGAAUACGUUCUCGGGUCUUGUACACACCGCCCGUCAAACUAUGGGAGCUGGUAAUAUCUAAAACCGCAACGCUAACCGUAAGGAGGCAUGCGUCUAGGGUAGGAUCGGUGACUGGAGUUAAGUCGUAACAAGGUAUCCCUACGAGAACGUGGGGAUGGAUCACCUCCUUUCUUCGGAGUAAAUUAUUUAAUUUACGUACUAUAAACAAGUGUACAUUUUUAAYAAAAUCCAUAUGAUAAUAUGCCACGUUAUUAUUUUUAUUUUAUUUAAACAUUCAUAUGGUCGGAUUCUAUUUAGUUUUGAGAGARUAUUCUCUCCCCAAUAAGYAAUUAUUGUGGAUGAUCGAUUUUUGAAAACUGAAUAUUAUCAUCAAAUCUUUCUAAUCAUUGAUAUUAAGUUAUCAAUGAAGAAAACUAUAUUUAAUAUAGUUAACAAUCAUAUAAAACAAUAACUUAAGGAAAUUUAUAAUAAGUUACUAAGAGCUUAUGGUGAAUGCCUUGGGACAAACAGGCGAUGAAGGACGUGCUAAUCUGCGAUAAGCAACGGGUAGCUGAUAAGAAGCGUUUAUCCGUUGAUCUCCGAAUGAGGAAACUCAAUAUAACGAGAGUUAUAUUAUUAUUAAGUGAAUUCAUAGCUUAAUAAAGCGAUACCUGGUGAAGUGAAACAUCUCAGUAGCCAGAGGAAAAGAAAACGAAGUGAUUCCCUCAGUAGCGGCGAGCGAAAGGGGAACAGGCCAAACCGAAUUUUUGAUUCGGGGUUGUAGGACUACAAUAUAGACUAAACAAGGAUAGUGGAAUUGGUUGGAAAGCCAAAUCAUAGAGGGUGAAAAUCCCGUACGCGAAAUCUUUGUUUUACUUAGUAGGAUCCUGAGUAGGGCGGGACACGUGAAAUCCUGUCUGAAUCCACCCAGACCAUUGGGUAAGCCUAAAUACUAGUUUGUCACCGAUAGCGCAUAGUACCGUGAGGGAACGGUGAAAAGAACCCAGAGAUGGGAGUGAAAUAGAACCUGAAACCAUAAGCUUACAAGGUGUUAGAGCACAUUAAUGUGUGAUAGCGUGCCUUUUGAAGUAUGAGCCAGCGAGUUAUUGUAGCAUGCGAGGUUAAAUCGUAGAGAUGGAGCCGCAGGGAAACCGAGUCUUAAUAGGGCGUUUUCAGUAUGUUGCAAUAGACGCGAAACGGGGUGAUCUAUCCAUGGGCAGGUUGAAAGUGAAGUAACAUUUACUGGAGGACCGAACCCACUUUCGUUGAAACGACAGGGGAUGACCUGUGGAUAGCGGUGAAAUUCCAAUCGAACUCCGUGAUAGCUCGUUCUCGCCGAAAUAUUUUUAGGAAUAGCGUUGGAUUAUUGGGAAUAUGGGGGUAAAGCACUGAAUCUAUGAUGGCGCCACCUCGGUGUACUGAAUAGAAUCAAACUCUGAAUACCAUAUUACCUAUUCCAGCAGUCAGACAGUGGGGGAUAAGCUUCAUUGUCGCGAGGGAAACAGCCCAGAUCAUUAAUUAAGGUCCCAAAUAUAUGCUAAGUGGAAAACGAUGUUGAGUUUCUUAAACAGCAAGGAUGUUGGCUUAGAAGCAGCCACCGUUUAAAGAGUGCGUAACAGCUCACUUGUCGAGAGACUCUGCGCGGAAGAUGUAACGGGGCUAAGCAUAUAACCGAAAUUAUGGAUUACAUUUAUGUAAUGGUAGGCGAGUGUUGUAUAUGGGUCGAAGGUAGACUGUGAAGACUAUUGGACUGUAUACAAGCAAGAAUGCUGGCGUGAGUAACGAAUGAGAGUGAGAAUCUCUCAAACCGAUUGACUAAGGUUUCCUGGGCAAGGGUCGUCCUCCCAGGGUGAGUCGGAUCCUAAGGCGAGGCUGAAAAGCGUAGUCGAUGGAAAACAGGUUAAUAUUCCUGUACCUACGUGUUGUGUGAUGGAGUGACGGAGAAGGUUAAUAUGUGCCGGUUAUUGGAUUCCGGUUUAAAUAUUUAGGCUUGCAAGUUGGCAAAUCCGCUUGCUUUAAGGCUAAGAUAUGAAUACGAGCGAACCCCUCGGGUAGUAGCGAAGACAUAUACAUCAUGCUUCCAAGAAAAGCUUCUAGCGUUAAACAACAAGUAGUCCGUACCGAGAACGAACACACGUGGUCAAGGAGAAUAUCCUAAGGUUAGCGAGUUAACUACAGUUAAGGAACUCUGCAAAUUAAUCCCGUACGUUCGCAAUAAGGGAUGCUCAUUGUAAAAGGUGAGCCGCAGUGAAUAGCGAGGGGGGACUGUUUAACAAAAACACAGCUCUAUGCUAAGUCGUAAGACGAUGUAUAUGGGGUGACACCUGCCCAAUGCUGUAAGGUUAAAGAAGAAUGUUAGCGUAAGCGAAGCUUUUGACUGAAGCCCCAGUGAAUGGCGGCCGUAACUAUAACGGUCCUAAGGUAGCGAAAUUCCUUGUCGGGUAAAUUCCGUCCCGCUUGAAUGGUGUAACCAUCUCUUGACUGUCUCAACUGUAGACUCGGUGAAAUCCUGGUGAGGGUGAAGACGCCCUCUUGGCGUGAUUGGACGGAAAGACCCCAUGAAGCUUUACUGUAGCUUAAUAUUGGGAAAUUUUAUCGCUUGUAGAGCAUAGGUAGGAGACUAUGAAAUAUACUCGCUAGGGUAUAUGGAGUCGCCGUUGGAAUACUACCCUUGCUAUAAGAUUUCUCUAACCUGCAGCCAUGAAUCUGGCUGGGGGACAGUGUUAGGUGGGCAGUUUGACUGGGGCGGUCGCCUCCCAAAAGGUAACGGAGGCGCGCAACGGUACCCUCAGCACGGUUGGAAAUCGUGUAUAGAGUGUAAUGGUAUAAGGGUGCUUGACUGUGAGACUUACAAGUCGAACAGGUAGGAAACUAGGUCAUAGUGAUCCGGUGGCUCAGAAUGGAAUGGCCAUCGCUCAACGGAUAAAAGCUACUCUGGGGAUAACAGGCUGAUAGUGCCCAAGAGUUCAUAUCGACGGCACUGUUUGGCACCUCGAUGUCGACUCAUCUCAUCCUGGAGCUGAAGCAGGUUCCAAGGGUUCGGCUGUUCGCCGAUUAAAGAGAUACGUGAGUUGGGUUCAAACCGUCGUGAGACAGGUUGGUCCCUAUCUGUCAUGCCCGUAGGAAGAUUGAGAAGAGCUGUUCCUAGUACGAGAGGACCGGAAUGGACACACCUCUUGUGAUCCUGUUGUCGCGCCAGCGGCACUGCAGGGUAGCAACGUGUGGAAUGGAGAAACGCUGAAAGCAUC